UACAGGGGGGGCAAGCGUUGUUCGGAAUUACUGGGCGUAAAGGGCUCGUAGGUGGCCAACUAAGUCAGACGUGAAAUCCCUCAGCUUAACUGGGGAACUGCGUCUGAUACUGGAUGGCUUGAGUUUGGGAGAGGGAUGCGGAAUUCCAGGUGUAGCGGUGAAAUGCGUAGAUAUCUGGAGGAACACCGGUGGCGAAGGCGGCAUCCUGGACCAACACUGACACUGAGGAGCGAAAAGCCAGGGGAGCAAACGGG
rnacentral:rRNA from 1 species